rnacentral:tRNA from 1 species
GAAAAUAGCUCAGUUGGUAGAGCACGACCUUGCCAAGGUCGGGGUCGCGGGUUCGAGUCCCGUUUUUC